rnacentral:lncRNA from 1 species
AUUUCUUCCUCUUCGUCAUCAAGGGAUAGGGCUGCAAAGUCAGAUUCCAUGGUCGUUAUACGUGAAGAAUAGAAAGAGAAGAUUAUUCACAACACUGGAAAACUCAGCCGUCAAACCAAAAAACUAUUGAAAAAAAAGAAAACCUAGACUUCCCAGAAGGGCAGACAGAGACGAGCUAGGGUAGCAGACUUUUAUAAAAGACUUAAUAUAACAAUCGUAUUUAAGAGAUAAAAUUGCAACAUUUUAUCUGCUUAAAUCAAGAAUCUAUUUUAAAAAAUUAAUCUCUUAUUGGUUCAAUUUUUUUGUACAAAUAUUAUUAUUUUUUAAAGAGAAGUCUUUACGUCAAUGUUAUAGGCUAUUCAUAAACAUAAGAUAUUAUUUGUUAUUGCCUUUUGAAUUUAAAGUGUCAUAGAAACAAUUUUAGAUAUCUACAUGUAAAAGUACUAUCAACUCUUGGCAUUAGAAGGAAUAUUGCAUUUUGCCUCCUAUAUUAAAAAAUUGAUAAAUUAGCCCCUGUAUGUUACAAAAAUGUGUAAAUUAGUCAUUCCGUUAAAUUUUCAUCCAUAGUUGUUGCUAAGUGAU